CACCACUUCACUUCUCUGAGCCUCCGUCGUCUGUGGAAAGAGCCUCAUGGGGUCCCCAGGGCCCCAGAACCUUCCCUCUAGGGAGGGAGCAGGCUCGUGGGGCUUUGUAGGAGCAGAAAGGCUCCCGUGUGAGGCUGGCCGGGGCCACGUUUUUAUCUUGGUCUCAGAGCAGUGAGAAAUUAUGGGCGGGUUUUUAAAUACCCCAUUUUUGGCUGGUCUUGAACUCCUGACCUCGUGAUCAGUCUUGAACUCCUGACCUUGUGAUCCACCCGCCUCGGCCUCCCAAAAUGCUGGGAUUACAGGCGUGAGCCACCACGCCUCACCAAGUUGAGGCUAGGUCAUUUUUUAAUUUUUUGUAAAGGCAGGGUCUCACUGUCUCCAACUCCUGAGCUCAAGUGAUCCUCCUGCUUCAGCCUCCUGAAGCGCUGGGAUUACAGGCUUGAGCCACCGUGCCCAGCCAAGAGUGUCUUUUAUCCUCCGAGAGACAGCAAAACAGGAAGCAUUCAAUGCAGUGUGACCUUGGGUCAGGCCGUUCUUUAGGUGAUGGGCUGAUGAGGGCGCAGGUACAGGAGAGCGUCCCGGUGUGUCGCAGUUGGUCUCGUCCUCC
rnacentral:sRNA from 1 species